ACUCCUACGGGAGGCAGCAGUGGGGAAUAUUGCACAAUGGGCGCAAGCCUGAUGCAGCGACGCCGCGUGAGGGAUGACGGCCUUCGGGUUGUAAACCUCUUUCAGUAGGGAAGAAGCGAAAGUGACGGUACCUGCAGAAGAAGCGCCGGCUAACUACGUGCCAGCAGCCGCGGUAAU
rnacentral:rRNA from 2 species